rnacentral:sRNA from 1 species
UCAGAUAACUACAAUUUAGGUUGUGUCGC